AAAUUGAAUCUUGAGGGAUUUAAUUCUUUUACAAUGAAUUGUUUAUUCUCUUUA
rnacentral:tRNA from 1 species